UAAGCCGCGGUAAUUCCAGCUCCAAUAGCGUAUAUUAAAGUUGCUGCAGUUAAAAAGCUCGUAGUUGAAUUUCGGGACCAUCAUGUCGGUCGUGCCUCGGUACGUACUGGCAUUGUUGGUUUCUCCCUUCUGACGAACCAUGAUGUCAUUUAUUUGGUGUUGUGGGAAAUCAGGACUGUUACUUUGAAAAAAUUAGAGUGUUUAAAGCAGGCUCACGCUUGAAUACAUUAGCAUGGAAUAAUGAAAUAGGACGUUUGAUUCUAUUUUGUUGGUUUCUAGGAUCGACGUAAUGAUUAAUAGGGAUAGUUGGGGGCAUUAGUAUUCAAUUGUCAGAGGUGAAAUUCUUGGAUUUAUUGAAGACUAACUACUGCGAAAGCAUUUGCCAAGGAUGUUUUCAUUAAUCAAGAACGAAAGUUAGGGGAUCGAAGACGAUCAGAUACCGUCGUAGUCUUAACCAUAAACUAUGCCGACUAGGGAUCGGAUGAUGUUAAUUUUUUAAUGACUCAUUCGGCGCCUUACG
rnacentral:misc_RNA from 1 species